UUUGAUUUAUAAUAACUUUAUUUAUUAAAAUAACUAUUAAAAUGUCGAAAGUAAAUUUGAUCGUGGCUUCUGUUUUCGUAUUGAUGGCCUGCGCAGCCUUCAGCCCAGCGCAAGCUGCUGCAUCCCACGGCUCCAAGAAACAUGAGACGACCGAUAUCGUAAAGAAACUUGAAGAUCUUGCAAAGAAGAUUGAAAAGACUUUGGAAGAUGCAGAGGACAAAAUUGAGAAAACAGCCAAGAAACUAGCUUCUAAAGCUGCAGG